CACUGCUAAGCACUGGAAAUGUUCUUGCAUGCAUACUCUACAUCCGUGCCACAGAUGUAGAAACCUCCCUCUGCCCUGCUCCCAGCUGCUGCAGAGCAAAAACAUCCCAUGAACACACAGGACCAGUAUGUGCAGGCAGUGCAAGGCAGCUCUGUCGGCCCUGUGUCCACACCAGAAGUCACCACCAAGGCAGCUGGAUGGGUGCUGAGCUGCACUGCCCGUGGUCUCAGGCUAUCCAGGUGCUGUCCUGAACCCACAAUCGUUCAACAGUAGAACCAGGCUCUUCAUUUGGCAAUAAACACAUGUACUCUCA